UUUACGGGAGGCAGCAGUGGGGAAUAUUGGACAAUGGGCGAAAGCCUGAUCCAGCAACGCCGCGUGAGUGAUGAAGGCCUUAGGGUUGUAAAGCUCUUUUACCCGGGAUGAUAAUGACAGUACCGGGAGAAUAAGCUCCGGCUAACUCCGUGCCAGCAGCCGCGGUAAU
rnacentral:rRNA from 1 species